GCCUAUUGUGAAGGGUAGCCUAGUGGACAUGGCAUCUACCCGGUAAACUAAACACUGUGGGUUCGAAUCCCAUCCCUGGACA